rnacentral:piRNA from 1 species
UGCCUCAAACUUGGUACGAAAGCAGAUCC